rnacentral:rRNA from 1 species
CGGACGGGUGAGUAAUGUCUGGGAAACUGCCCGAUGGAGGGGGAUAACUACUGGAAACGGUAGCUAAUACCGCAUAAUGUCUACGGACCAAAGCGGGGGACCUCCGGGCCUCGCGCCAUCAGAUGAACCCAUAUGGGAUUAGCUAGUAGGUGAGGUAACGGCUUACCUAGGCGACGAUCCCUAGCUGGUCUGAGAGGAUGAUCAGCCACACUGGGACUGAGACACGGUCCAG